CGUGUAGGUGGUCUGAUAAGUCGGGUGUGAAAUCCCGGGGCUCAACCUCGGAAGUGCACACGAUACUGUCGGACUUGAGUACUGGAGAGGAGAGCGGAAUUCCCGGUGUAGAGGUGAAAUUCGUAGAUAUCGGGAGGAACACCAGUGGCGAAGGCGGCUCUCUGGACAGAUACUGACACUGAGACGCGAAAGCGUGGGAAGCAAACA
rnacentral:rRNA from 1 species